rnacentral:rRNA from 1 species
AGACUGCGUUUGAAACUGUAUAUCUUGAGUGCAGCAGAGGAGAGCGGAAUUUCUAGUGUAGUGGUGGAAUACGUAGAUAUUAGAAAGAACACCAGUGGCGAAGGCGGCUCUCUGGGCUGACACUGACGCUCAGGUACGAAAGCUGGAGGAGCGAACGGGAUUAGAUACCCCGGUAGUUCCAGCUGUAAACGAUGGACACUAGGUGUUGGGGGUUCGAUUCCCUCAGUGCCGUAGUUAACGCAGUAAGUGUCCCGCCUGGGGAUUACGGUCGCAAGACUGAAACUCAAAGGAAUUGACGGGGGCCCGCACAAGCGGUGGAGCAUGUGGUUUAAUUCGAAGCAACGCGAAGAACCUUACCGAGGUUUGACAUCCUGUGACCACCUAUGAAAGUAGG